rnacentral:RNase_P_RNA from 1 species
GAAGCCCGCCAGGCCGCCGCUGGUGCCACACGGGAAACCAGGCACUGGAGGAACGUCCGGACUGCACAGGACAGCGUAGCAGGUAACACCUGUCCACCGCGAGGUGAGGAUCAGAGCAACAGAGACGAGUCCUGUGCCCAACCCUUCGAAAGAAGGGGCGGGCGCAGGGGUGAAACGGGCAAUCUCUACGCGCAGCAAUACCAAAUAGGCCGGCAGUGGGCGCAAGCCCUGUCCCGUGGUCCGCGGGAUGCCGGCGGGUAGGUAGCACCGAGCCGGGACGGCGACGCCCGGCCCAGAGGAAUGGCGGUCACGUCCGGGCAACCGGACGCCACAGAAUCCGGCGUACGGCGGACUUCACAC